GUGAUGUCCCAUUGACGAAAUAUGUUAUAAGUGAUGUCACCUGGAACAUUAUAUCAUUUAUUAAUUGUUUCAUGACGACGUUUUACCAAAAUUGUAUGUCCAAAGUAAAUUAUUAUAAAGAAGAUGACCUCCUUACUAGUCCUAUAGAAAAUGAUGUUGAUUAAUAUAUUGCAAACAGUUACUUAAAGAAUGUUGGUGAGGCAAAUUCCCUUGAUAUACUUGUCCUUUUUAAUGAUACCUUUUUUUUCACUGUUGUACCAACAAAAGAAGAGUACAAAGGACAUUUAAGUUUUAAUUCACAGUUAAUUAUUUCUUUUUCCCCAAUUAAAAUGAGAACAAAAUAGUGACAGAGAGACAAGUUAACCGCUAACGUGAAAUCAUCAAGUUAAGUUUUUUGGUGUAAGCUAGUUUACAUUAAUAAUUUUUUCUAAUCAAAUUGGAACUUAGUUCAAAUGUUUGUUAUUGUGUCAGCUUAUUUAACUAGAUACCAGUGUAGGGUUUAGGUGCGGAAAUUGCUAUGUAAUAAUCAUGUUAAUUUGUUGAAUAAGUUACAAGUAGUUCAAAUGAAGAGAGAGUUGUUCACGUCAGCUUGAAACUUAAUUAAGUUCAAUUUUAAAGAUCGAUUUUAAGAAUACAUACCUUAUUUGGGUUUGUGACAAUAUUUUGGGUUUCAUUAAACAUUCAAAUGUAGUAAAACGGGCGAGUAUUCAUAUUCAACAGACA
rnacentral:lncRNA from 1 species